rnacentral:rRNA from 1 species
GUUAUAUGGUCAAGCGAAUAAGCGCACACGGUGGAUGCCUUGGCGGUCAGAGGCGAUGAAGGACGUGGCAGCCUGCGAAAAGUAUCGGGGAGCUGGCAACAAGCUUUGAUCCGGUAAUGUCCGAAUGGGGAAACCCACCCGCUUGCGGGUAUCCUGCAGUGAAUACAUAGCUGCUGGAAGCGAACCUGGUGAACUGAAAUAUCUAAGUAACCAGAGGAAAAGAAAUCAACCGAGAUUCCGUAAGUAGCGACGAGCGAACGCGGACUAGCCCUUAAGCUGAUUUGGUUCUAGGAAAACGCUCUGGAAAGAGCGGCCAUAGAAGGUGAUAGCCCUGUAUCUGAAAGGGCCAUUUCAGUGAAGACGAGUAGGGCGGGGCACGUGAAACCCUGUCUGAACAUGGGGGGACCAUCCUCCAAGGCUAAAUACUACUGACCGACCGAUAGUGAACCAGUACCGUGAGGGAAAGGCGAAAAGAACCCCGGAGAGGGGAGUGAAAUAGAACCUGAAACCGUGUGCGUACAAGCAGUAGGAGCUCCGCAAGGAGUGACUGCGUACCUUUUGUAUAAUGGGUCAGCGACUUACUGUUCGUGGCAAGCUUAACCGUAUAGGGGAGGCGAAGGGAAACCGAGUCUGAUAAGGGCGCAUAGUCGCGGGCAGUAGACCCGAAACCGGGUGAUCUAGUCAUGCCCAGGGUGAAGGUGCGGUAACACGCACUGGAGGCCCGAACCCACUCCCGUUGCAAAGGUAGGGGAUGAGGUGUGAUUAGGAGUGAAAAGCUAAUCGAACCCGGAGAUAGCUGGUUCUCCUCGAAAGCUAUUUAGGUAGCGCCUCAUAUGUAUCCUCUCGGGGGUAGAGCACUGUUAUGGCUAGGGGGUCAUCGCGACUUACCAAACCAUUGCAAACUCCGAAUACCGAGACGGACUGUAUGGGAGACACACGGCGGGUGCUAACGUCCGUCGUGAAAAGGGAAACAACCCAGACCCACAGCUAAGGUCCCAAAUUUUGUGCUAAGUGGAAAACCAUGUGGAAAGGCACAGACAGCCAGGAGGUUGGCUUAGAAGCAGCCACCCUUUAAAGAAAGCGUAAUAGCUCACUGGUCGAGUCGGUCUGCGGGGAAGAUUUAACGGGGCUAAGCACAGAACCGAAGCUUGGGGUGCAUAACUUUGUUAUGCGCGGUAGAGGAGCGUUCCGUAAGCCGUUGAAGGUGGAUUGAGAAGUCUGCUGGAGGUAUCGGAAGUGCGAAUGCUGACAUGAGUAACGAUAAUGCGGGUGAAAAACCCGCACGCCGAAAGCCCAAGGUUUCCUUGCGCAACGUUAAUCGGCGCAGGGUGAGUCGGCCCCUAAGGCGAGGACGAAAGUCGUAGUCGAUGGGAAGCAGGUUAAUAUUCCUGCACCUCGCGUAAGUGCGAUGGAGGGACGGAGAAGGUUAGGUGUACCAGGCGUUGGUUGUCCUGGGGAAAGGCGGUAGGUUUGGAUCUUUGGCAAAUCCGGGAUCCUUUAAGACCGAGCACCGAGACGAGCCUUUAAGGCGAAGUCACUGAUACCACGCUUCCAGGAAAAGCUCCUAAGCUUCAGCUUACGCAGACCGUACCGUAAACCGACACAGGUGGGUAGGAUGAGAAUUCUCAGGCGCUUGAGAGAACUCGGGUGAAGGAACUAGGCAACAUGGCACCGUAACUUCGGGAGAAGGUGCACCCUUUUUGGUGGCUCGUGCGAGCUAUAGCUGAAGAGGGUCGCAGUAACCAGGCCGCUGCGACUGUUUAUCAAAAACACAGCACUCUGCAAACACGAAAGUGGACGUAUAGGGUGUGACGCCUGCCCGGUGCUGGAAGGUUAAUUGAUGGGGUCAGCCGCAAGGCGAAGCUCUUGAUCGAAGCCCCAGUAAACGGCGGCCGUAACUAUAACGGUCCUAAGGUAGCGAAAUUCCUUGUCGGGUAAGUUCCGACCUGCACGAAUGGCGUAACGACAGCGGCGCUGUCUCCACCCGAGACUCAGUGAAAUUGAAAUCGCUGUGAAGAUGCAGCGUUCCCGUGGCAAGACGGAAAGACCCCGUGAACCUUUACUAUAG